AGAGUUUGAUCAUGGCUCAGGACGAACGCUGGCGCGCGUGCCUAAUACAUGCAAGUCGAGCGAGCUUGCCUAGAUGAUUUUAGUGCUUGCACUAAAUGAAACUAGAUACAAGCGAGCGGCGGACGGGUGAGUAACACGUGGGUAACCUGCCCAAGAGACUGGGAUAACACCUGGAAACAGAUGCUAAUACCGGAUAACAACACUAGACGCAUGUCUAGAGUUUGAAAGAUGGUUCUGCUAUCACUCUUGGAUGGACCUGCGGUGCAUUAGCUAGUUGGUAAGGUAACGGCUUACCAAGGCAAUGAUGCAUAGCCGAGUUGAGAGACUGAUCGGCCACAUUGGGACUGAGACACGGCCCAAACUCCUACGGGAGGCAGCAGUAGGGAAUCUUCCACAAUGGACGAAAGUCUGAUGGAGCAACGCACGCGUGAGUGAAGAAGGGUUUCGGCUCGUAAAGCUCUGUUGGUAGUGAAGAAAGAUAGAGGUAGUAACUGGCCUUUAUUUGACGGUAAUUACUUAGAAAGUCACGGCUAACUACGUGCCAGCAGCCGCGGUAAUACGUAGGUGGCAAGCGUUGUCCGGAUUUAUUGGGCGUAAAGCGAGUGCAGGCGGUUCAAUAAGUCUGAUGUGAAAGCCUUCGGCUCAACCGGAGAAUUGCAUCAGAAACUGUUGAACUUGAGUGCAGAAGAGGAGAGUGGAACUCCAUGUGUAGCGGUGGAAUGCGUAGAUAUAUGGAAGAACACCAGUGGCGAAGGCGGCUCUCUGGUCUGCAACUGACGCUGAGGCUCGAAAGCAUGGGUAGCGAACAGGAUUAGAUACCCUGGUAGUCCAUGCCGUAAACGAUGAGUGCUAAGUGUUGGGAGGUUUCCGCCUCUCAGUGCUGCAGCU
rnacentral:rRNA from 1 species